rnacentral:misc_RNA from 1 species
GAUGAAGAACGCAGCGAAAUGCGAUAAGUAAUGUGAAUUGCAGAAUUCAGUGAAUCAUCGAAUCUUUGAACGCACAUUGCGCCCCCUGGUAUUCCGGGGGGCAUGCCUGUCCGAGCGUCAUUACAACCCUCAAGCUCAGCUUGGUGUUGGGCCCCGCCGCCCCGGCGGGCCCUAAAGUCAGUGGCGGUGCCGUCCGGCUCCGAGCGUAGUAAUUCUUCUCGCUCUGGAGGUCCGGUCGUGUGCUCGCCAGCAACCCCCAAUUUUUUUCAGGUUGACCUCGGAUCAGGUAGGGAUACCCGCUGAAGUUAAGCAUAUCAAUAAGCGGAGGA